rnacentral:misc_RNA from 1 species
AAGUCGUAACAAGGUAACCGUAGGUGAACCUGCGGUUGGAUCAUUAAUAAUGAUAAGUCCGAGUAGUGGUAUCUCCAUACUACGAAAGGACUAAAUACCCACUGUGAACUUGUAAUCGUAUUUGGGUUGAAUUCAGGUGUAAAUCUUUAUUUAGCCCAACUUUAUAAACAAACUUAUUAAAUUUUGACUGAAUUUUGUUUCUAAUGAAUCAAAAACAACUUUUGACAACGGAUCUCUUGGCUCUC